AACGAACGCUGGCGGCAGGCUUAACACAUGCAAGUCGAACGCCCCGCAAGGGGAGUGGCAGACGGGUGAGUAACGCGUGGGGAUGUGCCCAGAGGUUUGGAAUAACUGUGGGAAACUACAGCUAAUACCGGAUAAGCCCGAAGGUUUAGCGACUUUUGGGGAAAGAUUUAUCGCCUUUGGAUCAACCCGCGUCAGAUUAGCUAGUUGGUAGGGUAAUGGCCUACCAAGGCGACGAUCUGUAGCUGGUCUGAGAGGAUGAUCAGCCACACUGGGACUGAGACACGGCCCAGACUCCUACGGGAGGCAGCAGUGGGGAAUAUUGGACAAUGGGCGCAAGCCUGAUCCAGCCAUGCCGCGUGAGUGAUGACGGCCUUAGGGUUGUAAAGCUCUUUUAACAGGGACGAUAAUGACGGUACCUGCAGAAUAAGCCCCGGCUAACUUCGUGCCAGCAGCCGCAGUAACAC
rnacentral:rRNA from 1 species